rnacentral:rRNA from 1 species
AGUGAACGCUGGCGGUAGGCCUAACACAUGCAAGUCGAACGGCAGCACAGUAAGAGCUUGCUCUUACGGGUGGCGAGUGGCGGACGGGUGAGGAAUACAUCGGAAUCUACUUUUUCGUGGGGGAUAACGUAGGGAAACUUACGCUAAUACCGCUUACGACCUACGGGUGAAAGCAGGGGAUCUUCGGACCUUGCGCGAUUGAAUGAGCCGAUGUCGGAUUAGCUAGUUGGCGGGGUAAAGGCCCACCAAGGCGACGAUCCGUAGCUGGUCUGAGAGGAUGAUCAGCCACACUGGAACUGAGACACGGUCCAGACUCCUACGGGAGGCAGCAGUGGGGAAUAUUGGACAAUGGGCGCAAGCCUGAUCCAGCCAUACCGCGUGGGUGAAGAAGGCCUUCGGGUUGUAAAGCCCUUUUGUUGGGAAAGAAAAGCAGCAGGUUAAUACCCCGCUGUUCUGUCGGUACCCAAAGAAUAAGCACCGGCUAACUUCGUG